GGCACCGGAAACGGAAACUAUUCUGCCGGGAUUCUAAUCUGCCUUGCCUGCCUGUGCUUCCCGAUUCUUUAUUUUAAAAAAAAAGCAUGAAAUCAUCCUGGGACGUUCUAAAGUCCAGCAAGGCGGACAGAAGAAAAGAAGACUUUCUUACCCGCCAGCGCCCUUCUGCAGGACCACUAAUCCCAGAAGUCACUGCGGCGCCCUAGGGACUAUGGGAUUUGUAAUAAAGACACCAGACGAAGCGCCCUCUAACUGCAGCCGGGAAUGGACUCCCGUGUUUGAGGUUGUGCUUUGCAAUACACACAGUCCUCAGGGUCUCUCUACAGAGCUGACUGUCCUGAAACCAUUAUGUAGACCAGAUUGGCUAUGAACUAACAGGAUCUCCCUGGCUCCACCUUCCAAGUGCUGGGAUUAAAGGCGUGGACCACCACACCCAGCUUCAACAGGACUUCUAGCAUAAGGAGUCAGUGGCAAGGAAUCCAGCUCAAAGUCCCAUGUGCCCUAAUGUUUUCUACUUAUUAUUCGUCUUUAGUUCCUUCUACUUUGAGUAUCAGAAAAACGUGUACUCUAGACAUCAGAAGAUCAAAGAACUAAGGAAAACAAAAAUAAAGAAACACUGAUGACAGAGUACGGUG
ensembl:antisense Gm15938 predicted gene 15938